GUGGUGGUCCAUAAAAGCAUUUGAAUUCUCCACCUCUCUCAAAUUUUACUAUUAUCUAUUUCUUUCACAUUUCCAAAAGAUAAUUUUCUCUAAACAACCAGUGAAAGGUUAAUGGCUAUUUUGACAAUUGGUUCCAGAUGUUUACCAUUCUUCUCCGACGUCCUCAGGAAGAUCAUGUCAGCAGGGACCCGCUGGUUCUGUAAGGAGAAGAAAGGCCAUUAUUGUGCGUACGGCCCUGCACGCGCGUACAGCCGCCUUCCCCAGCCCUGCCGCGACAAGCAAAGGGGGUAUGGAGGAGAAAGAGGACUUCUUUGUCAAACUGAAGCUUGGCAUUCGUUUUGCUUUGAAUCCUAAACUCGCUUCCCCACAGAAUUCCAAGCGCAGCCUAAUAACUGGUGCCAGCUCCCACCGACCGGACCGACCAGCAGCCAGGUUUACAAAAGAGCUAAUGAUGAGGAUUUAUUUGGCAACUGUCAGUAUGGGAAGCACUACCUGCAGCAUUCAAGAACGGAAACUUAUUUUAUUAGCGCUUUCCUUAAUGAUGUAAAUUCACGCUGGAAAAGAGAAAUUAAGGCCUGGACAAAGCCACAACGCGAUGGUUUCCUACCCUUAUGCACAUAAAGGGCUUUUUGGAUCAUUAUUCUGAAAACAGUAUCAUCUGCUCCAAAAUUUUUCCAGUACAAGAAAACCAAAGCAGCUGGAGCAGAUUUGUCUUGUUCAAUAACCCUCCCAACCUCAGCUGUUUUAAGGUAAAAGAAAGAGAGGACCUUUCUCAUCAAUACACAUUUUUAUAACUCCUGUAUAAAUGAGAUGCCCUUUUUAGGUAGCAAGGCUAAUUCUGCUUUUCCAGCCAUACUCCUGGCCUCUCGUGGAUGACAUCCCUGCAGUACGUACCAUAUGUCCUGCUAAGAAGGCGCGGGACCAGAUGUUUCCUUUGACUCAGGGCUCCCAUAAAGCAACUUACUUGAAUUAGUUUUAUUUUGAUCUUGGGAAUUCUGUAAUUCCUUUUUCUUUCUGUGGGGAAACUACCUCCUAAACACUAGAUGUUUUCUCACGCAUGUUUAGAAACCAGCUAAUAACACAAUUGCUUCAUUUCCCAAUACUGCUCUGCUAUUGAAGUAUUUUUGUAAUAACAAAUUACUGGUUUUAUAAAUGCAUCUAGAAGUGCUUCCUCUAAAUACACAUAGCUUUAUUUAGCAUUUACAGUGCUUCCAGUUUAUAGUUUCAGAAGCUGAUCGGAAUACAAGUCAGUGAUUAACACAAUUUUAAAAAGCAACUAGUCUUGAUCUGUUUAAAAAAAAUAAACUCUUAAUAUUUGAUUGCUA